rnacentral:rRNA from 1 species
GACGAACGCUGGCGGCGUGCCUAACACAUGCAAGUCGAACGGAACUGUUUUGAAAGAUUUCUUCGGAAUGAAUUUGAUUUAGUUUAGUGGCGGACGGGUGAGUAACGCGUGAGUAACCUGCCUUCAAGAGGGGAAUAACAUUCUGAAAAGAAUGCUAAUACCGCAUGACAUAUCGGAACCACAUGGUUUUGAUAUCAAAGAUUUUAUCGCUUGAAGAUGGACUCGCGUCCGAUUAGUUAGUUGGUGAGGUAACGGCUCACCAAGACCGCGAUCGGUAGCCGGACUGAGAGGUUGAACGGCCACAUUGGGACUGAGGCACGGCCCAGACUCCUACGGGAGGCAGCAGUGGGGGAUAUUGCGCAAUGGGGGCAACCCUGACGCAGCAACGCCGCGUGAAGGAUGAAGGUUUUCGGAUUGUAAACUUCUUUUAUUAAGGACGAAAAAUGACGGUACUUAAUGAAUAAGCUCCGGCUAACUACGUG